rnacentral:rRNA from 1 species
AGAGUUUGAUCAUGGCUCAGGAUGAACGCUAGCGGCAGGCCUAAUACAUGCAAGUYGAACGGGAUCCACUGAAGUAGCAAUACGGAAGUGGUGAGAGUGGCGCACGGGUGCGUAACGCGUAUGCAACCUACCCUGUUCUGGGGGAUAGCCCGAAGAAAUUCGGAUUAAUACCGCAUAACACCACUGGGCAGCAUUGUCCGGUGGUCAAACAUUUAUGGGAACGGGAUGGGCAUGCGUUCGAUUAGCUGGUUGGCGGGGUAACGGCCCACCAAGGCAACGAUCGAUCGGGGAUCUGAGAGGAUGGCCCCCCACACUGGUACUGAGACACGGACCAGACUCCUACGGGAGGCAGCAGUAAGGAAUAUUGGUCAAUGGGCGCAAGCCUGAACCAGCCAUGCCGCGUGCAGGAAGACGGCCCUACGGGUUGUAAACUGCUUUUAUUCGGGAAUAAACCUACUUACGUGUAAGUAGCUGAACGUACCGAAGGAAUAAGGAUCGGCUAACUCCGUGCCAGCAGCCGCGGUAAUACGGAGGAUCCGAGCGUUAUCCGGAUUUAUUGGGUUUAAAGGGUGCGUAGGCGGGAUACUAAGUCAGGGGUGAAAGACGGCAGCUCAACUGUCGCAGUGCCCUUGAUACUGGUGUCCUUGAAUAUGGUUGAGGUAGGCGGAAUGUGACAAGUAGCGGUGAAAUGCAUAGAUAUGUCACAGAACACCGAUUACGAAGGUAGCUUACUAAGCCAUCAUCGACGCUGAGGCACGAAAGCGUGGGGAUCGAACAGGAUUAGAUUCCCUGGUAGUCCACGCCCUAAACGAUGAUAACUCGCUGUUAGCGAUAUACAGUUAGCGGCCAAGCGAAAGCGUUAAGUUAUCCACCUGGGGAGUACGCCGGCAACGGUGAAACUCAAAGGAAUUGACGGGGGCCCGCACAAGCGGAGGAGCAUGUGGUUUAAUUCGAUGAUACGCGAGGAACCUUACCCGGGCUUGAAAGUUAGUGAACGUUCCAGAGAUGGGACGGUCCGCAAGGACACGAAACUAGGUGCUGCAUGGCUGUCGUCAGCUCGUGCCGUGAGGUGUUGGGUUAAGUCCCGCAACGAGCGCAACCCCUAUGUCCAGUUGCCAGCACGUAAAGGUGGGGACUCUGGACAGACUGCCUGUGCAAACAGAGAGGAAGGCGGGGACGACGUCAAGUCAUCAUGGCCCUUACGUCCGGGGCUACACACGUGCUACAAUGGCCAGUACAGAGGGCCGCGAUCUGGUAACAGUUAGCCAAUCUCAGAAAGCUGGUCACAGUUCGGAUCGGGGUCUGCAACUCGACCCCGUGAAGUUGGAUUCGCUAGUAAUCGCGUAUCAGCAAUGACGCGGUGAAUACGUUCCCGGGCCUUGUACACACCGCCCGUCAAGCCAUGGAAGCCGGGGGUACCUAAAGUCCGUCACCGCAAGGAUCGGCCUAGGGUAAAACUGGUAACUGGGGCUAAGUCGUAACAAGGUAAAGGG